GCCGGUUAUGAAGAUCCUGGCGACGCUGGAAGACAUCUAUCUCGUGCCGAGCAGAAGCAGAUCCGCGGCCUGAUGAUAGCGCUGACAUGACCAUCGGCCACGCCGGUGGCGCACGGGAAGCCUCCCGGAAGCUGCGGCAACGAUAUUUCAGCACGUGAACCUUAACGGCACGACCGGCAAAUCUCGC
rnacentral:sRNA from 1 species